UGCGGCUUGAAACUGCCUAUGCCCGGGCUGUGCCCGACGCUCGGCUUGCCCGAAAGGUACGAUUGGAAAUCUGGUGUGUCACCAGUGGCUGGCCCAACGUCCUCUUGGACAGGAGCCUGGCUGCUGAUCACUGUGCUGCAGACUGAUCGAGACUUGCGGCAGAAAGCAGAGUCCUUGGAAGCAUGGAUGAAUGUCCUGGAGGACAACAUGCAGUGAAUUGCCACUCCUGCCUAUCACACCAGGGAAGACAAUCAACCCAGUGGUUCACGGCUGGAAGGACUUUUGCUUUUGGUCUUAGAGGAGACUUUGGACUUUUGAGUUGGUGCCGCAACAAGCUAAAGACUUUUGGGACUGGGA